rnacentral:tRNA from 1 species
AGGGGUGUAGUUCAAUGGUAGAAUCCGGGUCUCCAAAACCUGUGAUGAAGGUCCGAUUCCUUCCACCCCUGCAA